AGGAGGGAGGUGAGGAUUUGACUAGAUACACCUGUGUCUCCUGGGGGAGGGGAAGUAAAAAAAAAAAAAAAAAGACGAAAAGAGUGUGCUGGGGAGAUAUUUAAGAUGUCUUUGAAAGAGGGGAUCUAGUUGCUGUAUCUCCUAAAAAAAAAAAAAAAAAUUGUAGUAGUGAAGAAAAAGCUGCGAGGCAGUUUCAAGAACCGGCUGGAUUUUAUGGAUUUCCCCGGCCAACCAUGUGCUGCUGGCGGUGCGCCGAUGGAGAGACCUCCGGAGCAGCCCACAGGAAGCUGUGUCCAGCUGUGUGUGAAGAUGAAGCUGCAUCACACUGCCUGCAGUCGCCUGCUCAGCUUCAUAGUGAAGACACAAAUCUACAGCAACUCAGCCCACAAAACUCGACAGAGAGGAGGAUCAGUCAAAGACAGCUCCUUCCUGUGAAUCUAUGAGGCAAGACUCCCCAUGAUGCAAGGUGAAGAAGGAUUCUGGUUUCAGUCCCUUCUGUUCCAGGGCCUCUCUGAGACGAACUGGCGGCUCCAUAUAGUACUGGACAAAAGAAGGACCAGAGAAAAAGCAAGCGCAAAGGUCCCCCAGUGAAUGGCCACAGACUGUUUGGCCUGAAGGUCCUGGUGAAUCUGAACAGCCUCCGCUGGAUCUACAUGCUGCCCCUGCAUCACAUCCCUGAAAAACCAGGAGUAUUCAGAUGUUCUUACAUGUCUGUCUCUGUAACAAUGGUUAUGUAUGUUGUUAUAUACAGUACAAUAUAAUUAAAGAAUUUGAUUUGUAAAUUGUACGAUUUAAAGAUUGCAUUUCUAUUUGUUCAAGUGUCACACAGAAGAAACGUGUUUUACCCUCAGUGGCCACUUCAUGUAGGUACAAACGUACAAUCUAUGAUAAUUCAAUACAUCAGCUAGACAUAAAUUCUAAUUCCACGACCUUUAUAAUGUUCCCUUUUUUGAGAUGUGUCAGAAAUGUGUAUAGUCAAUAGUUACAGCUGGUGUUCCAUUGGACUACAUUAGAUUGUACCUGGGUAAGUACGCUCCGAUCGGGAUUGCUGCGAGGUCAAAUGGUCCAAAGCGUCGUCCUAUCUCCUGGAAGGAAGCGCAGUAGCCAGUAUCACCAGCGAAGAAGAAUCGAUGGUCCGGACCCAAAAUAGACCAGCUGCCCCAUAAAGACUGAAAGAAAUAAAAACAUGUCCCUUUCCUCUUUGUAUGUACUGAUUCAGCUUUGAAUUUAAAAUUGGCUGAAGGAAUAAAUUGUUUCAUUUAACUGCCAAGAUGUACAAGAAGUCACUGAUUCGGCUCAGAUAUAGAUGCUUUUAA